rnacentral:rRNA from 1 species
GGUAGCAUAAUAAUUUGUCUUUUAAUUGAAGACUGGAAUGAACGGUUUCACCGAAGCUUGACUGUCUCCUUUUUUACUUAAUAAAAUUUAAAUUUUGAGUGAAAAUGCUCAAAUUUUUUAAAGGGACGAGAAGACCCUGUAGAUCUUGGCUGAGGUUAAAUUAAUUUUUACCAAUGUUUACCUGGGAGGGGGUUUUUAAUGAACUAAAUUGAAUUAACGACUAAAAGUCUAAUUUGUGGAUCCUAAUCGGAAAGAAUGUUUAAGUUACCUCAGGGAUAACAGCGCUAUCA